rnacentral:rRNA from 1 species
UAGAGUGGCGAACGGGUGAGUAACACGUGACCAACCUGCCUCUUACAUUGGGACAACCAAAAGAAAUUCUGGCUAAUACCAAAUACUCCGCACAUAUCACAUGAUGUAUGCGGGAAAGCUUUUGCGGUAAGAGAUGGGGUCGCGGCCCAUUAGGUAGACGGCGGGGUAGAAGCCCACCGUGCCGAUGAUGGGUAGCCGGGUUGAGAGACCGACCGGCCACAUUGGGACUGAGAUACGGCCCAGACUCCUACGGGAGGCAGCAGUGGGGAAUAUUGCGCAAUGGGGGAAACCCUGACGCAGCAACGCCGCGUGCGGGAUGAAGGCCUUCGGGUUGUAAACCGCUUUCAGCAGGGAAGACAUCGACGGUACCUGCAGAAGAAGCCCCGGCUAACUACGUGCCAGCAGCCGCGGUAAUACGUAGGGGGCGAGCGUUAUCCGGAUUCAUUGGGCGUAAAGCGCGCGCAGGCGGUUGCUCAAGCGGAACCUCUAAUCUCGGGGCUUAACCUCGAGCCGGGUUCCGAACUGGACGACUCGAGUGCGGUAGAGGCAGAUGGAAUUCCCGGUGUAGCGGUGGAAUGCGCAGAUAUCGGGAAGAACACCAACGGCGAAGGCAGUCUGCUGGGCCGUCACUGACGCUGAGGCGCGAAAGCUGGGGGAGCGAACAGGAUUAGAUACCCUGGUAGUCCCAGCCGUAAACGAUGAGCGCUGGGUGUGGG